rnacentral:lncRNA from 1 species
AUGUCCCCUUCUCUCUCUCUUCACCCUCUCCCCCACCGCCCCCUCUGUCUCUCUCAUUUCUCUUGGGGUUUCUUUUGGCUUUUGUGUUUGUUUCCUAUGCGUUGCCUCUCCCCGUAUUUCUCAUCUCGGAAAACAACCCUUUGGCCCAAAUACAUUUGGGUUGAUUUUGAGCCUCUGCCUCCUUCCUCCAAGCCAUUGGUCCAUCCCCGUUUUCCCUGGGUUCCUGCUCAUUCCCCGCGCCCCCCCUCCCGCCCCCAAGGCCUCCCUGCCCCUCCCCCACCCUCCCUCCCCUCCGCAGGCCUCAGCUUUCUCUUGACAGAUGGGAGGGCAGUGAGCACUCCCUCUUUAAAACAACAUUUAAUCGCCGUUUUCUGUUCUUGGACAUCAAAGCCGGGGCUUAGGCGCUGCGCUGGGGUCGCGGUGCGCGGGCUCUGGGGGAGAGGAGCUCCUACCAUCCCCGAAGGCUGGGUCGGAAACUGCUGUCAGCCAGUCCAAACCCCAGGGAUCCAUGGGGCCUCACCUUACACUGGGGGAGAUUCCAGCUCUUCAAAUGCUUUGCUACCUGGAAAGAAGCAGGUGGGUCAAGGGAGGGCUGUGCGAGGAGCUGAGAGCCCCAGCUCUGGCUCGCCGAGGGCCUGGGAGGUGACAGCAGCGGGUGGAGGCAAUGGCACCAUCCCUUACUUCCUGAGAACCUUUGGAGAGCCUGGGAAAACCACGCCGGAAGGAUGCUGAAGUCAGGCCUGCCUCUAAGUAGAACUGCCUUUUAAUGCAGCCCCCAAGCCCUCCACAGCCCACCCUGGUUGGUUAACAGCUGCAUUCUCUGGGAGCAGUGGUCUAUCCAAUCCCUUGGACAUUUGAGUGUGCAGAUUAUUUGAUUGGAAGUGACCUUAGGUUGGGUCAUUUUGUCUCUCUCUUUGCCCCUUGGCCCCUCUAUCUGUCUCAAAUAGAUGCACCAAAAAGGUUUGGAAGACACUUCCCAACACUAAACUUCUAAGACUAUGACUCUUGGAACUUCUGCUGUGGUACAAUGGGAUCAGUGACGUCUCUGGAACAACCAGAUGUAGGUUCAGUCCCUGGCCCAGCACAGUGGGUUAAGGAUCCAACAUGCUGCAGCUGGGUCAUAGGUCGCAAUUACUGCUCAGAUCUAAUCCCUGGCCUGGGAACUCCAUAUGCCACAGGGCAGCCAAAAAAGAAGCAAAGAAAGCAAAGCAAAGCAAAUACUCUAUGACUCUUGCCAACUGGAAAGAUCCUCAGAGUAAAGGAUACUUCUGGCUCCACAUCACCUGUUAGCACUUGUUUAGAAAGCAGUAUUUCAGGUGUUUCUCCCUCCACCCAAAGCAGUGUGGUCCUCAGCUUAGCGUG